rnacentral:rRNA from 1 species
CUACCUACGGGAGGCAGCAGUGGGGAAUAUUGCACAAUGGGGGGAACCCUGAUGCAGCGACGCCGCGUGGGUGAGGAAGUACUUCGGUAUGUAAAGCCCUAUCAGCAGGGAAGAAAAUGACGGUACCUGACUAAGAAGCCCCGGCUAACUACGUGCCAGCAGCCGCGGUAAUACGUAGGGGGCAAGCGUUAUCCGGAUUUACUGGGUGUAAAGGGAGCGUAGACGGCAGGGCAAGUCUGGAGUGAAAGCCCGGGGCCCAACCCCGGGACUGCUUUGGAAACUGCCAUGCUG